CGGGAGAAGCUGCAGUCGGCUGCUGAGGUGAUCGUCAGCUCCACCAUCAGCAUCGUGAGAAGCAGCAGCAACAUGGACUUCAGAAGUGCCUGUUUGAAACACAUGAAGGUUCAUGACACUCAUGAGUUAUCAGCCUCCCUCAGAGAGUCCCUGUGGAGGAUGUCGUCUUGGAAACGGCUCUCUAAAGUCGGGUGCUACUCUGCUCAGGUCGAAGAUCAAGCUGCGAGUAAUGAGGCCGUCACAGCUGAAAUCUGACCGUUUUUUUAUUAUUCUGGCCAGAAAUUUAUUUUUUUAUUUUUUUUGCUAAAAAGACAUGUUUGUACAUUGAAUAUUUAGUGUUUCUAGUACUCUAUUAAAGGUAUAUAUUUUACACUACAGUACACGUGAAUGUGCCUUGGUUUACUGCUUUACAGUAUGUUGAAAUUUAAGAUAGAGAUCUAACUAAUCGCAAGAAAGUUUGGUUUAGACUUUUCUGUGA